ACAGACAUGGUGUAGUGGGAACACGGCCUCUUCUUAUAGAUAAGCUUCAGAGUUAUUCAGAGGCAAACCAGGGUUCAAAUCCCUGUGUCUGAA